rnacentral:misc_RNA from 1 species
CCCCCCCCCAAAAAAAAAAAAAAAAAAAAAACGAAACAAAACAAACAAAAAAAAUCUGAUAAACAAAAAUAUUGAUGUCUGAAGUAAAAAAUUUAAACAAGCAAAACUUUCAACAACGGAUCUCUUGGUUCCGGCAUCGAUGAAGAACGCAGCGAAAUGCGAUAAGUAAUGUGGACCGCAGUACUCAGCGACUCAUCGAAUCUUUGAACGCACAUUGCGCCACUUGGUAUCACCAAAGGGCACACCUGUUCGAGCGUCAUCAUACAUCGCAUCAAGUCAAGGGCCCGCUUGCAAUUGGGCUUUGUCUGCUUUAUGUAGAAGUCUAAAAGUCAGUGACGGUUAAGUUAGGCAUUCCAGCGUAGUGGUUUAAAUUAGCUGUUGAAAUGUCUUUUACAUGACAGUCAAAACAUCCAGGGUAUCUGCUGGCGGAGACCCCCCCCCAGGGUUUCCGUUGGCGGAGACCAUUGGAUUU